rnacentral:tRNA from 1 species
UACGAAGUGCCUGACUAAAAGGAUUAUUUUGAUGUAAUAAAAAUGGUGAUUUCACCCUUCGUUA